GAUCCGGAACUUUGGGAUGAGGAUUGGCUCUAAGGGCUGGGUUGGGGUGCAAAGGUCAGGAUGCGAAGUGGGGCUGGGCUCAAGCUGCAGCUGGGGGAGCAGUCGCCACCGUUGGAAGUUCGUUGUGCGGCCCAUCUCACGGUCUCUCGUGCGUGGUCUCGCAAUGAGCUGCGUGCCAGUGUUUGUCCAAGUCGUGUCUGGCGGGCCGGUGGAGGGUUGGGUCCGGCGGUUGGCGGCCGCAACUCUGGACGCGCACCAGGCCCUUCUUGCGGAUCUCCCCAGCUAUGGCGCUCGCCCGCCCUGUUUGCGCGGGGUCACUUUGGACGGCACCUACAGCUGACUUCGAACUGGUAGGAUCAGGGGAAUCCGACUGUUUAAUUAAAACAAAGCAUCGUGAAGCCCCAAUGUGGGUGUUGACGCGAUGUGAUUUCUGCCCAUUGCUUUGAAUGUCAAAGUGAAAAAAUUAAAUGAAGCGCGGGUAAACUGCAGGAGAAACUAUGACCUUAAGGAGUCCUUUGCCCAGGACAUUGGUGAUCCAUGCUUCGCGAAUUAGUGCAAAGUCGAAUAC
rnacentral:ncRNA from 1 species